GGUAUAAUGUACCUGGCCCGCCGCCCACAAGGUGGUGAGUGCCGGAGCACGUUUACCAUCCUUCUAGAAAACGAUUUUGCCGUUCACUCGGUGGGGUCGCGAUCUAGAUCCUUUACUUUGAAAAAAUUAGAGUGUUUAAAGCAGGCUUUUGCUAUGAAUACAUUAGCAUGGAAUAAUAAUCUAGGACUUCGGUUCUAUUUUGUUGGUUUCUAUAACUGAAGUA
rnacentral:rRNA from 1 species